rnacentral:rRNA from 1 species
GCGCAUGUCUAAAGUUGAUUGCACCUUUAAAGUGAGUGGCGAACGGGUGAGUAACACGUGGACAACCGGCCUCACGGCUGGGGAUUACAUUUGGAAACAGAUGCUGUACCGAAUAAAACUCGGUGUCGCAUGACAAAAAGUUAAAAGGCGCUUUGGCGUCUCCUAGAGAUGGAUCCGCGCUGCUUUAGUUUGUUGGUGGGGUAAAGGCCUCCCAUGACAAUGAUGCCUAGCCGAGUUGAGAGACUGAUCGGCCACCUUGGGACUGAGGCACGGAAAAAAAUUUUAUAAGGGGAGGCUGCAGUAGGCAACCUCCCACAAUGGGCGAAAGCCGCGUGUGUGAUGAAGGCUUUCGGGUCGGAAUGCACUGUUGUAUGGGAAAGAGUGUUCCGCCUGGGGAGGCUUUAGAAGACGAUGUUCUCUCCGAAACUAGUGACAGGUGGUCAUGUCAUCGUCAGCUAUGUCCAGUGAUGUUGGGUUAAGUCCCGCAACGAGCGCAACCCUUAUUGUUAGUUGCGAGCAUUCAGAUGGGCACUCUAGCGAGACUGCCGGUGACAAACCGGAGGAAGGCGGGGACGACGUCAGAUCAUCAUGCCCCUUAUGACCUGGGCUACACACGUGCUACAAUGGCGUAUACAACGAGUUGCCAACCCGCGAGGGUGAGCUAAUCUCUUAAAGUACGUCUCAGUUCGGAUUGUAGUCUGCAACUCGACUACAUGAAGUCGGAAUCGCUAGUAAUCGCGGAUCAGCACGCCGCGGUGAAUACGUUCCCGGGUCUUGUACACACCGCCCGUCACACCAUGGGAGUUUGUAAUGCCCAAAGCCGGUGGCCUAACCAGGCACCCU